AGGGUCAUGAGGACUCGAAACGUCAACUUUGUUCUUCUCCGCCGAUGCUGCCAGACCUGCUGAGUUUUUCCAGGUGUGCGCAAUGUCGAUACUGGCGACGAACGGACGCUUCUUUAUCAGAUCCGCAAUCGGUCUGUUCAGUCACAUGAAGACCCACAACCCUGAAUGACGUCAUCUGCGAAUCGAGAGACUGCCGACGACAAAGAUGACGGGGGAAAUGUGCAGCAGGGUGCUUGUGCAAGGAAGCAUGAACAGAGAGUGUUGUGAAUUCCUAUCCUGGACUGACAGGGAUGGAUUCUGGAAACUCCUUUUACAGGGGGUUAGAAGAGGAGGAUUUGCACACAGCAAACUCAAUCAAGCAAAAUGUUUGUCUCUUCGGAAAUUUUAAUCUUGGACUGACAGUGAUAGCUUUCGUAAACUUCUUUUAAAUGGUAUUAGCAGACAGGAAACUCAAACCAAAUCUCACUUCAAAACCUGACAGAAUCACUUGAUUCAUCAGGACCUGGAUAUUAUCAGCUUAUGAGUCUGCAGGCUCCAGCAGGAGAUUUUAAUAUUGAAAACAGUGGAGUUGUUUCAGAGGUGAGUAUU